AAAAUUUGGGCUGCAGGAACCAAAAGAUUGGCUACAGACACAAGAGACACUAUGCACACUAUGAAGUGUGUUGUGGCUGCUUUGUUCAGUCUGUUGUCCCUGGGACAGACAUAUGAUGAGAGGAGCUGUGACAGUCUGAUGGAGCCCAUACAAGUCAGCAACCAAGAAAUUCUGGGGAAGUGGAUGUACAUCGGAGCCAGCUCUGUGAUCCCUGGGAGUCGAUCUCUGGGCCGCCUUCUGGACAGUGUGUGGCUGGACAUCACAGCCACCAGUCAGAGCAACACCCUCAACAUUGUUCAGACUCAGAGGGUAAAGUAUGGCAGCUGUUGGACCAUCACGUAUAACGUGACCUUUGAAAGGAGCAUAAUGCUGAUUGAGCAACCAUUCUACCUGAAAGAAGUCUACCUCCCAACCAUCUGCUCUGACUGCCUGGUUGCCUGGGAGGACGUUAUAGUGGGG
rnacentral:lncRNA from 1 species